GAUAGCUGGUUCUCCCCGAAAUAGCUUUAGGGCUAGCCUCAAGGUGAGAGAUACGGAGGUAGAGCACUGAAUGUCCUAGGGGGUAUUGCACCUACCGAAGACUAUUAAACUCCGAAUGCCGUCAUCUUAUACUUGGGAGUCAGACUGUGGGUGAUAAGAUUCAUAGUCGAAAGGGCAACAGCCCAGAUCGUCAGCUAAGGUCCCUAAAUG
rnacentral:rRNA from 1 species